GGCCGUGUAGUCUAGUCGUAGGAUGCCUGCUUUGGGUUCGUUCUUCCAAACACAUGCAGGAGGUCCUGGGUUCAAAUCCCAGCUCGGCCC